AGGGACAGUCCCACCCUGGCAGCCGCGCGGAGAGGAGGGCGGCAGAGGAGACCGAAAACUAGGCUUGCCUGGGGCAGUCCAGCCGUAGUGGUGGGCGGGUGCGCGGUUCCUGGAUGUCCUGUAUUACCUGGUGACCUGACGACGCAGGUGGACGUGACUGGUCCCCUGACACUGAGUGCAUGCGGUGAUCCUGGUGGUCCUCUUGCUGGUGGGAGCCGUCAACAGAAGGAUCCAGGCAAAUUUCUGAAAGUGUGGCCUCGGUGAAAGAGAGCUUCAAGUUGGAUAAUUGAACAAACCAGUAACAGAAGAAGGUGAGGGAUCCUGGCUAUAAAUCACAAAGAACCAGGAGCCAAUUAAAUCAAAGUGAUCAACAGACCUCAGAAGAAGGUAAUGAUGAUAAAAUGUAUUUGUAAAAUUCUAAACCAUUUUCAAGUAACUUUCCCCGCGUAGGAUGCAUUAUUCCUCCGUAAAUGGAGAUAAUCAAACCAUAAUCAAUAUACAGGAAAAGCACCUAAUCCAGUGUUUGGUACACAGCAUAUGCUCAAUUAUUGGUCACUACAAUGACAACAGUAACCACAUUUAGUAAUAGUGAUAAUAUACCGCAAAUCUAUUCAGAUUUCUGUCUCGUUCUUCCAGAGAGACCUUUGAAACACAUAUGUUUUCGUUUCG
rnacentral:lncRNA from 1 species